rnacentral:rRNA from 1 species
UACAGAGGUCCCAAGCGUUGUUCGGAUUCAUUGGGCGUAAAGGGUGCGUAGGCGGCGCGGUAAGUCGGGUGUGAAAUCUCGGGGCUUAACUCCGAAAACUGCAUUCGAUACUGCCGUGCUUGAGGACUGGAGAGGAGACUGGAAUUCACGGUGUAGCAGUGAAAUGCGUAGAUAUCGUGAGGAAGACCAGUGGCGAAGGCGGGUCUCUGGACAGUUCCUGACACUGAGGCACGAAGGCCAGGGGAGCAAACGGG